GAGUUGUUCACACGGAAACGACGCCGGUCUCAUCUGCUCAGAUGAAAUUUGGUCUCUGAGAUUGAGCAAUGGGGGCAGCCGCUGCGACGGCCGAGUGGAGGUUUACCACAAUGGUAGAUGGGGGAGAGUGCAGGAUAGCGCCUGGAACAUCAAUGAUUCCAACGUGGUCUGCAGAGAGUUGGGCUGCGGCUCCGCCAUAUUCGCCUACAAAUCCUCAAGGUACGGAGAGAGUGAGCUGCCCGUGUGGGUGAACAACGUUCACUGUGAAGGAAACGAGUCGCAGCUCCGAAAUUGCAGCACAUUUACGCUGAAUCAGACAUCCAGCGACAGCAUCGGUGUUGGAGUCCUGUGCUCAGACCAUCUCCAAUUACGGCUGUCUGGGGGUGGAAG